rnacentral:rRNA from 1 species
UAAUUCCAGCUCCAAUAGCGUAUAUUAAAGUUGUUGCGGUUAAAAAGCUCGUAGUUGGAGUUCUGCCAGGUGCCGCCUGUCCGCCCCAGUGGUGAGUACGUGGCGCGCAUUUGGCCCUUUCAAGGGGAGCGUAUCUGCACUUUAUUGUGUGGUGCGGGAUCCUUGACUUUUACUUUGAGGAAAUAGGAGUGUUCCAAGCAGGCUCUCGUCGUGCACAGCUCAGCAUGGAAUAAUAGCAUUGGACCUCGAUUCUAAGCUGUUGGUUGCCAGAAGCGAGGUAAUGAUGAAGAGGGAUAGUUGGGGGCAUUCGUAUUUAACUGUCAGAGGUGAAAUUCUUGGAUUUGUUAAAGACGGACUACUGCGAAAGCAUCUGCCAUGGAUGUUUUCAUUGAUCAAGAACGAAAGUUAGGGGAUCGAAGACGAUCAGAUUCCGUCCUAGUCUUAACUAUAAACCAUGCCGGCUAGAGAUCGGAGGUUAUUCGUUUUGUGACGCCUUCAGCAUCUUGAGAGAAAUCAAAGCCUUUGGGUUCCUGGGGGGAGUAUGGUCGCAAGGCUGAAACUUAAAGGAAUUGACGGAAGGGCACCACCAGGAGUGGAGCCUGCGGCUUAAUUUGACUCAACACGGGGAAACUUACCAGGUCCAGACAUAGGAAGGAUUGACAGAUUGAUAACUCUUUCUUGAUUCUGUGGGUGGUGGUGCAUGGCCGUUUUUAGUUGGUGGAGUGAUUUGUCCGCUUAAUUGCGUUAACGAACGAGACCCCAGCCUGCUAAAUUGCGCGGCCGAGCUUUGCUCGGUGCGAGCUUCUUAGAGGGACCAUGAUGCGCGAUAGCACAAGGAAGUUUGGGGCAACAACAGGUCUGUGAUGCCCUUAGAUGUUCUGGGCCGCACACGGGCUACACUGGCGCCUGCAACGAGCAUAUCAGCUGGCCCGAGAGGGUCUUGGCUAAUCUUUUGAACCGGCGCCGUGCUUGGGAUUGACCUUUGCAAUUGUUGGUCAUGCAACGAGGAAUGCCUUGUAAACGCGAGUCAUCAGCUCGCAUUGAAUACGUCCCUGCCCUUUGUACACACCGCCCGUCGCUCCUACCGAUGAAUGUUCCGAUGAAAUUUUCGGAGAGCGCCAGAGAACGGGGCUCUGCCUUGCAGAUCUGGG